GUGUAUUGACAUGUUAGACAGAUGUUGUCCAGGUGUAUUGACAUGUUAGACAGAUGUUGCCCAGGUGUAUUGACAUGUUAGACAGAUGUUGUCCAGGUGUAUUGACAUGUUAGACAGAUGUUGUCCAGGUGUAUUGACAUGUUAGAGAGAUGUUGUCCAGGUGUAUUGACAUGUUAGACAGAUGUUGUCCAGGUGUAUUGACCAGAUAGACAGAUGUUGUCCAGGUGUAUUGACCAGAUAGAC